AUUGAACGCUGGCGGCAUGCUUUACACAUGCAAGUCGAACGGUAACAGGCCUUCGGGUGCUGACGAGUGGCGCACGGGUGCUUAAUGCAUCUGAACGUGCCCAGAGGUGGGGGAUAACGCAGCGAAAGCUGUUCUAAUACCGCAUGUGAUCUGAGGAUGAAAGCGGGGGACCAGGCAGCACUGUUUGGCCUCGCGCCUUUGGAGCGGCCGAUGUCAGAUUAGGUAGUUGGUGGGGUAAAGGCCUACCAAGCCGACGAUCUGUAGCUGGUCUGAGAGGACGAACAGCCACACUGGGACUGAGACACGGCCCAGACUCCUACGGGAGGCAGCAGUGGGGAAUUUUGGACAAUGGGCGCAAGCCUGAUCCAGCAAUGCCGCGUGAGGGAAGAAGGCCUUCGGGUUGUAAAACGCUUUUGUACGGAACGAAAAGGAUCUGGCUAAUACCUGGGGCUGAUGACGGUACCGUAAGAAUAAGCACCGGCUAACUACGUG
rnacentral:rRNA from 1 species